ACAGGUAUUUGUGGAAGGCUUCAGGACAAAAUGUUUCAUUUAAGGACUUGUGCUGCUAAGUUAAGGCCAUUGACAGCCUCCCAGACUGUUAAGACAUUUUCACAAAACAAACCAGCAGCAAUUAGGACGUUUCAACAGAUUCGGUGCUAUUCUGCACCUGUAGCUGCUGAACCAUUUCUUAGUGGGACUAGUUCGAACUAUGUGGAGGAAAUGUACUGUGCCUGGUUGGAGAAUCCCAAAAGUGUACAUAAGGUAAGGCUCACAGAGUAGUUCCUCUGCUCUGGAUGUUGGUCAGGUGCUCACUGACUGCCAGGUAAGUGAGUGUAUCCACAAGAGUCAGUGGGCAGGCAGGCGGCUAGAACCAGCACCAUCACCACCGCAACUGCAUCAGACUCCGGGUGGCCUCAGUGGAAACCACACAGUCCUCCUGAGCGAUAUCCAGCAAUGAGCGCAACACUCAAAGCACAAGGUGAAGCCUGUGUAACCCUUCAAGGAUAAGAGGAAAUACCAGUGUGCUCCUGCGAACACAUGAGGAAGCACAAGACUGGCCCUCCUCCAGAAUCUCCCUGAAAGCUGCUUUGGGAUGAAGCUCUCUGAAGAAGGAAAGUCUGUGGGAAGAGUGGGACCUCGAGAGGCUCUUCCGUCCUGACCGCUCUGAGAGAACAUGUGUAUUUGUGACAUUUUAAUUCACCACAUGGAUUUUCUAUAUAAACAGCUGUUAGAUCCUUGUG
rnacentral:lncRNA from 1 species